UUCUUCUAGCCGUUUCCUCUCCACUAUAAAAACCAAACCGCACCCCAAGACUUUCUCAAAAUCCUAACAAGCCAUUUUCUCUCUCGGAGGAUUUUCGUCUCUUCUUUCUCUUAAUUUCGCUCGACGAAGGUCUGCGGCCAUGGCGAGUUUCGAGGAGCAGGUGAAGGAGAGAGCGAAAGAGCUCAAGAUUCUCUUCAAGAAAGGUUUCAAGAUUGUCGGUGAGUCGUGCAAGAAAGGAUGGAACAAAGUCAAACACAUUAGGCGUUGAUAGAUGAUUUCUUCUCCGUUUUCUUCUUUCUCUCUCUGUGUUUUUGCAUCGGUGGUUUGAUUUUCAUCCUCUCUUUAUAGUUUCUUUUUGGAUUUGAUUCGUGUAGGAUUCGUUUCGAUGUAAAGAUUUGAAUCGGUUUGGAUUUUUUGCAGGUUAUAUAAUCUUUGCUUGAUUGAUUUAUAUAUAAUAGAUAACUUUUUUCUUUUCUGGAUAGCUUUUCUUUCUAGUACGAAUUUUGAAUUUUAUUGUUCAGAUUGAAUUUGAACUAUUUUGAUGUUGGUAUAAUAUUGAAAAUUGAGUACUGAUUUGGUAUGAUAAGAAGUUAUCGUUUGCUUUCACUGGUUUUUGCUGUUUAAUUCGUUAAAAAAUAACUGGCUAUCAAAUUUAAUGAUGGAAAAAAGUAGGAAGUCCGAAAAUCGUGAUAAAGUGCGUUUCGUUAGCAAUUGAUUAUCAUUAUCAUGUAUCAUCAUUGAAUAAAUCGGACCAGGAAGGAACUUUCUACUUUCUUCUUUUGAUUAUUUAGGGUUGAUUAUAAAAAGAUUGAUUGUUUUCGUUUCUAGAAAGAUACCAGCAAACUGAUAAUACAUACAUAUAUAUCUUGCAUUAACUCUAAACCUUGAAAAACAGAGUUCUCUGUUUUCCUCUUUUGACUUUCAGGUCAAGUCUAGACUCUUUUUUCCUCUUUCGGGUUUCGACGUUCUCUGCGUAUGUCUCUUCUUGACCGUUAGCUGCCUCUUCUCCUUCUCCUUCUCCUCCUUACACAUUUAUGCAGUCCAUAGUUAAAAGAUUCAUGUAUUUACUAAUCUUUUUCUUUUUUCAUGAGAAACAAAUUUUAAAAAAAAAUUAAUUUAAGUUUCUCAGUCCAUAUCAAACUGGACCAAUCCGAUUCUAAUUUUUAAUCCGAAUCGUUCAGGUCAGUCUGUUCCCAUUCUUGUUCAGGGUCCAAACCGAUGCUAAUCACUAGUUCUAACUUGACAAAUUACGGGUAGGAUUCGUAAUAGUAUUAUUGAAAUAAAUCGAAUUUAAGUAAUCAAUUUAAUUAAAACUGAAUUUUAAAUAAAUCAAGUUCAAAUUUAAGUCUAAAUUUUAUUGCGUUUAAUUUGAUUAAAUACUUAUUAGAAACUUUUAUUUGAUAAUAAUAUAUUUAAAUUAAAAUACAAUUAAUUAUAUUUCUAACUAUAAGCAUUUAAAAUAAAUUUUAAAAAAAAAAUUAAUUAAUUAAAAUACCAUUAGUUAAUAAAACUAAUUUCUUUCAAUUUAUUUAUUUAUUAUAAAAUUAUAAAUUUAAAUACCUGAAAUUGAUUUAAAAACUGAAUAAAACAAACACAUCAUUGUCAAUCAUAAUAUACUCUCUUCAAAAUCAAACUUCUUGAUUUUUUUUUUUUUUUUUUUUUAAACCUUUAG
rnacentral:lncRNA from 1 species